UACGUAGGGGGCUAGCGUUGUCCGGAUUUAUUGGGCGUAAAGAGCGUGUAGGCGGCCAGGUAGGUCUGCUGUGAAAACUCGAGGCUCAACCUCGAGACGUCGGCGGAAACCAUCUGGCUAGAGUCCGGAAGAGGAGAGUGGAAUUCCUGGUGUAGCGGUGAAAUGCGCAGAUAUCAGGAGGAACACCAAUGGCGAAAGCAGCUUUCUGGGACGGUACUGACGCUGAGACGCGAAAGCGUGGGGAGCGAACAGG
rnacentral:rRNA from 1 species